AUUGAACGCUGGCGGCGGGCCUAACACAUGAAAGUCGAAUGGUAACAGGAAACAGCUUGCUGUUUCGCUGACGAGUGGCGGACGGGUGAGUAAUGUCUGGGAAACUGCCUGAUGGAGGGGGAUAACUACUGGAAACGGUAGCUAAUACCGCAUAACGUCGCAAGACCAAAGAGGGGGACCUUCGGGCCUCUUGCCAUCAGAUGUGCCCAGAUGGGAUUAGCUAGUAGGUGGGGUAACGGCUCACCUAGGCGACGAUCCCUAGCUGGUCUGAGAGGAUGACCAGCCACACUGGAACUGAGACACGGUCCAGACUCCUACGGGAGGCAGCAGUGGGGAAUAUUGCACAAUGGGCGCAAGCCUGAUGCAGCCAUGCCGCGUGUAUGAAGAAGGCCUUCGGGUUGUAAAGUACUUUCAGCGGGGAGGAAGGGAGUAAAGUUAAUACCUUUGCUCAUUGACGUUACCCGCAGAAGAAGCACCGGCUAACUCCGUG
rnacentral:rRNA from 1 species